UUCACUUUGCCACACUCUGGACUUCGCCCAUCUCCCUGUGGCCUUGUCCAAUUUUAAGUGCAAAGAAGAUCAUCUCUUCUGUCCUACUACUCACCGGAAUGUCUCCUCUUCGGAGCGUGGGCAUAUCGGUCCAUGUUUAAGGUCAACAU
rnacentral:snoRNA from 1 species